CUGCAGUUAAGCCUUCAAAGCCAAAUGCUCUGGGAGCUCCUCUUCCCAAAGACAGACCCCCAGGCUGGGGAGCCUGACAUGGGGCUCAGAACUCUCACUCCUGUGGGAGAACCUCUGCAAUAUAAUUACUCUCCAGUUUGGGGGUCACCCACCCCCUCCCAGGGGUAUGGGAUUUGACUGUACUGUGAGUGUGCCCCUCUUACUGUCUCGUUGUGGUUUCUUCUUUAUGUCUUUGGUUAUAGAAUAUCUUUUUUGGUAGGUUCUUAUCUUUUUUUUUUAUCGAUGGCUGUUCAGCAGUUAGUUGUGAUUUUGGUGUGCUCACGAGAGGAGGUGAACUCAAGGUCCUUCUACUCCGCCAUCUUGUCCCAGGAACCGAGGAAAUUUUAAUCCAGGGUCAUUGUGCUCUCCAGGAGAUCGACCAUGUCCCCACAGUGAGUAUCAGAGAAAAAUCCCCUUAUGCCUCCAGCAGGAGAGAAAAGGAACCACUCCUGAGAUCUGCGUGCUAAAUGUGGACACAGUGGGCAGAGAGAUGAUUGGCAUCAAACGUUCCUGAGUGUUAGCUGCUGCUCGUACCCUCCCACGUCCAACAAUUCAUCGUGAAUUAUUUUUGGCGUAAGGCACAUGUAGAGUUUGCUACAGUCAGCACGGCCUCCCUCCGCUAAGCCAGCCUGAAUGUUGCUUCUUUAAAGAUAAGCAAGGGGAGACGUUUCAGGACACCGGCCACCGUCACCGUGCACUUCCUCCUGCCCCUCCUCGACGCCAUCCUGGGUUUCUGUUCCAGCCUGUUAGUGGGUGACUUGGUUCAACAUGGCUGUUUGGUUCUAGGGGCGGUGACCGUGGAGGUUCUGAUUGGAAGAAGCUAUCACUACCCAAGCUCCGACACAGAUUCCUGAGAGGGUGGGAACAGAAUAUCUGCACUCCAAAUCCCUCCUCAGACCCCUUUUGUGCCUCAGCACUACUUUGCAAUGACUCCUUCCUGCACCAGGCUUCCAGUGGGCCUUUUCAGGCAGUCCAGGCAGUUAAUAAUAUAUGCAACAGACCUCAGUGAAUUUCUGCAACAAGGAUCAGUGCUGAUGUGGAAUUCUCACAACUUUAGGUGAACCUUUAAGAAAGCAAAUGAGCUACAGAAUACCUUGAUUGCUUUAACUCCAGUGAACUGCAGGUCUAUGAAGAAGUUAUGGCUCCUUCCAUUAUUCUUCAAUACUGAAAAAAAAAAGCUGGAAACUUGGAUCCAUAUCUGGCUCUACUAUAUUAUAUGA